UCCCAUGAGCUUGUUAUCUCCAAGCCACCUCCUUCUAACGAACUGCCAUCAACCUAUGGACCUUUCUUUAUUCAACCUCCCCACCCCAACUGUGGCAACAAUGGAGAAGGCCCUUGGGAAUAUGAUCCUGGCUCCCCUGGCUGGAUCCUCUGUGUCCCCAGGACUUCACUCUGUGACACACCUCCUACUUCCGGACCCCACUUAUUCUCCAGAUCGCUGAAGGUCACAAGGUCCAAUUUUUUUUUUUUUUCUGGCAGAGAGUGCCUGAGCUCGCUAAGAAACCUGACCCACACGCUCUCCGUAGAGAAGGAAACCGAAGCCCCACGACGUCCCCAAGUAACUUCCCCAAGGCCACCCAGCAAACGAGCCGUAGAAUUGCCUUUUAUCGUGGAAUCAAGAGAUUCCGGAAGUUUCCGGCUCUCCGGAACUUCUUCCUUCUGGUCCUGGUCCUUCUACUCUGAGCCUAGCCAGCACAAACAGCCAGAGGAUGGAUCCAGUUCAGCGGUGCCAUUUCUUCAGAGACGUCGGUGGUCCUUAGACAACGCCGCCUCUCUGUUUUCCCACGUGUGAAUCUGGGCAACAGUAUUGUCUUGUUUAUUUGGCUGGCUGGUUUUCCUGAAGAUCCACUAGGCAUCCUCAAAGCCCACCGCGGGGCCUUCGCAUCCUCAUCCAAAGGGCUUGGAGAACUCUGGGACAGUUCCCACCGCUUAACAACGUUGCCUGUGUCUGCAGUUCUAUGUGAAAAGAACUCGAAGCCCUCGCCCUUUGAUAGAAGGGGGAUGAGAGAAUUUAAUAAGCUUUAACGACGGAGAUGAAGAAUUUUGGAAUACAACUGUAUUCUGGGGAAGGGUUGGGGGGGGGAUUCUAAACUCCCAAGAUUUUCUCAGGAAACAAAACUCAAAUGAAAGACUGGUUUCCAGUGACUGCUGUUUUACAAGCAAUGUGGUUUGUUGUUGCUUAAUUACGAUCAGACCCAUUUUAUAGAGGGAACUGAGGCCUGUAAAGUAACGCCUCAAGAUUACAGACUUCUAGAAACAAUGGUGUUAAUGACAGAUUCCACUCGUUGGCAUCCUAAGUUCUGUGCUUUCCUUCCUACUUCUGAACUGCCUUCGGGCAUGCCUAUUUAGUGCCAGUUGACACUUUUGUACUUUCUCCUGUGCUUUAUUACUUUCUCCUUGGUAUCGGUGAUUAGGAAGUAAAAAAAAGAACCAAAAA